CACCCCCGGGAAACUGGGGCUAAUCCCCGAUAGUUGAGGAGGCUUGGAAUAGUUCCUCUGCUAAAGGAUUAUGGGACCAUGCUUUCCAUAUUUGCCCAAGGAUGGGGCCGCGUCCGAUCAGGUUGUUGGUGAGGUAAUGGCUCACCAAGCCUUUAACCGGUACGGGCCGUGAGAGCGGGAGCCCGGAGAUGGGCACUGAGAAAAGGGCCCAGGCCCUACGGGGCGCAGCAGGUGCGAAAACUCCGCAAUGCGCGAAAGCGUGACGGGGCUAUCCCGAGUGCUGUCCGCUGAGGACAGCUUUUCCAUGGUGUAAGGAGCCAUGGGAAUAAGGAGAGGGCAAGUCUGGUGUCAGCCGCCGCGGUAAAACCAGCUCUCCGAGUGGUAGGGAUGAUUAUUGGGCUUAAAGCGUCCGUAGCCGGCCCUUCAAGUCUCCCGUUAAAUCCAGCGAUUCAAUCGCUGGGCCGCGGGAGAUACUGUUUGGCUAGGAGGCGGGAGAAGCCGACGGUAUUUCCGGGGUAGGAGUGAAAUCCUAUAAUCCCGGGAGGACCACCGGUGGCGAAGGCGGUCGGCUAGAACGCGCUCGACGGUGAGGGACGAAAGCUGGGGGAGCGAACCGGAUUAGAUACCCGGGUAGUCCCAGCCGUAAACGAUGCGGGCUAGGUGUUGGGGCGGCCACGAGCCGCUUCAGUGCCGCAUGAAAACAAUUAAGCCCGCCGCCUGGGGAGUACGGCCGCAAGGCUGAAACUUAAAGGAAUUGGCGGGGGAGCACCACAAGGGGUGAAGCUUGCGGUUUAAUUGGAUUCAACGCCGGGA
rnacentral:rRNA from 1 species